GGCGGACGUAGCCAAGUGGAUUAAGGCAAUGGAUUGUGAA
rnacentral:tRNA from 1 species